UCUCAGUACGAGCUGACCUAAAGUGAAACCGCAAAAGGCUCAGUAAACCGGUCAUAGUUUACCGGAUAUAGUUACUCACGUGGAUAACUGUGGUAAUUCUAGAGCUAAUACAUGCAAACAAGUCCCGACCAGCGAUGGAGAGGACGCUUUUAUUGGAUCAAAACCAUUCGCCCGGCUUGCCGGGCGUCGGCUUGAUGACUCUAGAUAACACCACAGAUCGCACGGUCACAGUACCGGUGACAUAUCCUUCAAAUGUCUGACUUAUCAGCUGUCGAUGGUAGACUCUGUGUCUACCAUGGCGCUCACGGGUGACGGGGAAUCAGGGUUCGAUUCCGGAGAGGGAGCCUGAGAAACGGCUACCACAUCCAAGGAAGGCAGCAGGCACGCAAAUUACCCACUCCCGGCACGGGGAGGUAGUGACAAAAAAUAACGAUACGGGACUCAUCCGAGGCCCCGUAAUCGGAAUGAGAACACCCUAAAUCCUUUAACGAGGAUCUAUUGGAGGGCAAGUCUGGUGCCAGCAGCCGCGGUAAUUCCAGCUCCAAUAGCGUAUAUUAAAGUUGUUGCGGUUAAAAAGCUCGUAGUUGGUUCUGCGUGCCACGCUGUCGGUUCACCGCCUGCCGGUGCAACUGGCAUGUCGUGGCAUGUCCUGUCGGUGGCGGAUAGACUCGUAGGGUGCCCUAUUCGGUUCGUCCGCGUAGGCUGCGCUCCGCGAUGUUCUAUUCGCCGGCUCAAUCCUACCGCGGUGCUCUUUACCGAGUGUCGAGGUAGGCCGACACUGUUUACUUUGAACAAAUUAGAGUGCUUAAGCAGGCUCUUAAAUCAGCCUGAAUAGUGGUGCAUGGAAUAAUGGAACAGGACCUUGGUUCUAUUUUGUUGGUUUUCGGAAUCCAAGGUAUUGAUCAAUUAAGGACAGGGCGGGGGG
rnacentral:rRNA from 1 species